UACGUAGGGUGCAAGCGUUGUCCGGAAUUAUUGGGCGUAAAGAGCUCGUAGGCGGUUUGUCGCGUCUGCUGUGAAGACUCGGGGCUUAACCCCGGGCCUGCAGUGGGUACGGGCAGACUAGAGUGCGGUAGGGGAGACUGGAAUUCCUGGUGUAGCGGUGAAAUGCGCAGAUAUCAGGAGGAACACCGGUGGCGAAGGCGGGUCUCUGGGCCGAUACUGACGCUGAGGAGCGAAAGCGUGGGGAGCGAACAGG
rnacentral:rRNA from 1 species